rnacentral:rRNA from 1 species
GCGGCCUAUCAGCUUGUUGGUGAGGUAAUGGCUCACCAAGGCGACGACGGGUAGCCGGCCUGAGAGGGCGACCGGCCACACUGGGACUGAGACACGGCCCAGACUCCUACGGGAGGCAGCAGUGGGGAAUAUUGCACAAUGGGCGAAAGCCUGAUGCAGCGACGCCGCGUGAGGGAUGACGGCCUUCGGGUUGUAAACCUCUUUCAGCAGGGAAGAAGCGAAAGUGACGGUACCUGCAGAAGAAGCGCCGGCUAACUACGUGCCAGCAGCCGCGGUAAUACGUAGGGCGCAAGCGUUGUCCGGAAUUAUUGGGCGUAAAGAGCUCGUAGGCGGUCUGUCGCGUCGGAUGUGAAAGCCCGGGGCUUAACCCCGGGUCUGCAUUCGAUACGGGCAGACUAGAGUGUGGUAGGGGAGAUCGGAAUUCCUGGUGUAGCGGUGAAAUGCGCAGAUAUCAGGAGGAACACCGGUGGCGAAGGCGGAUCUCUGGGCCAUUACUGACGCUGAGGAGCGAAAGCGUGGGGAGCGAACAGGAUUAGAUACCCUGGUAGUCCACGCCGUAAACGGUGGGAACUAGGUGUUGGCGACAUUCCACGUCGUCGGUGCCGCAGCUAACGCAUUAAGUUCCCCGCCUGGGGAGUACGG